rnacentral:lncRNA from 1 species
AGAUUGUCACCUCAUUCUCAACAGGCGUUCAUGAAUUUCCCGGUGGUAAUAAAGAGUCGAAAAGAAAUAACAAAAUUUCAUAAAGGCUUGCACUAGUUCCAAGCUGUGUGGAGACAUCAUGGAAAGGUGGUUCUCCUCAAAAGCUGCCGAGAUGACUACAGAAAACAAAUGGAGAGGAUCUUGACUCUGCCUCCAGCUGUGGCAGCUUUUCCACCUAGAGAGAGGGAGUGGCUGAAGGAUGAUGGCCGUUCCCUUCCCUGCCUCCUCGAAGAGACAUUCACUGCCCGCUCUGUGCUCCCAGUGUCAGAGAAAGGACAGGCCCUUUCCAUACUAAGGUUUUGGCAAGUACUAUCUGAACUUUUAAGAAGCUGA